UACGUAGGGGGCGAGCGUUGUCCGGAUUUAUUGGGCGUAAAGCGCGCGCAGGCGGUCACGCAGGUCAUCUGUGAAAGCACUCGGCUCAACCGGGAUGUUGCGGGUGAAACCGCGUGACUUGAGGGUGGGAGAGGUCGGUGGAAUUCCCGGUGUAGUGGUGAAAUGCGUAGAGAUCGGGAGGAACACCCGUAGCGAAGGCGGCCGACUGGACCACACCUGACGCUGAGGCGCGAAGGCCAGGGGAGCGAACGGG
rnacentral:rRNA from 1 species